UAGUAUAUGUACUGCCGAAGCGAGUACAUGCAUGGCCCCUGCGCAACGAUCACACGCAAAAUCGUGAAGCGUUCCACAUUUUUGACGAAGCGAAAGAAUUAUGUAAGGAUCGUAGCAAGUGGAAAGAAGUGGUCUCUGCCAACCCCUACGGGAAAGAGGCGUGAUUAUAUGUAUGUAUGAAUUUAUACAUAUAUAUUGAAAUGAAACUUAUAAUUUAUGUUUUAAUCAUUACAGCAUAUACAGCAUAUACAUUUCGUACAAUUAUGUAUUUGAAAAUACGAGAUGACUUUUCACACAAA
rnacentral:misc_RNA from 1 species